rnacentral:rRNA from 1 species
GUCUAUGGCCAUACCACCCUGAACACACCCGAUCUCGGAAGCUAAGCAGGGCCGGGCCUAGUUAGUACUUGGAUGGGAGAGGUGUAUGCUUCAGACA